rnacentral:lncRNA from 1 species
UGCGUGCGUCAUGAAGCAGAGCCGCCGGCGUGUACUUCGCGACAUAAAGAUAAUUUUAACCUGGGAGCAUUCUACUUAAAUAUGAAAUGAAAAAUUCUUAUAUUCUUACAUACUCCCAACAAAUAAGCUACUGGGACCUCUGUGAGCUGUUCGGUAAAAAUAGAUUUUAGGUCUUAGUGGGAUAUUCGCUUUGGCAAGUAUGAUCGUAAUCAUGAGAUUUGGACUACCGAAAUUAGCAUCCUGUUUCUGCGCCUCUGUGUUAAUCAGUACUCAGUUAAUCAGUCUAUGAUUCUACAAGCUGCUAUUUUUUCGAAGCCCAACUCGUCGGGUUACUUGCUACGACCUUUAAUGCUGUUAUCAGGAAGUCUAGGCUUCUGGCCAUGUAACAUUAAAGCGGACAACGAAUUUUUUUAUGUUCUAUAUCUGAAUGUGGGAACAACUCCAACAUUUUAACGGUAUAAAAGGCGGUGAUCCGCGCAGUUGUAGUAGAAGGGAGUAGGAAGAGUAUUCCGUCAAACCUGCGGGAAUGAUACCUUAAAUCUGUAAAACAAAAGUUUGAAUUAUUUCAGAUUGUCCUUAUGGACCACCCUCCCCCUAAUUAGAACUGCCGUUCCAAGGUCCGCUUGUACCCGUUCUUCUGAGUACAGCGGGGUUAGCUUGUUCCCUAGUCUUUUGUUAUUCCUUGGGUAAACCUUUUCACCCACUUCAAAGACUCUGUUCUGCCUUGAGAUGUUAAACCUGUCGAUAUUUUGUGCCUUAUCAAUUCUGGUUCUAAUUGCUAACUUCAGAUCGUUGUUGCUUACAUGGAUUGCUUCUACAGGCUUCUGGUCUAUGACCGAAUGUAGCGUCCUGUUGUAUUCUACAGUGGCGCGCAUGAUUAGCUCGACGGUGUCCUCAAUCUUUUGGUCGAGUUUUAUGCACCUUGCUAUCUCUGCCAACGUGCUGUGAAAUCUCUCUACUUGCCCGUUGGAGCUACUAUGUAGAGGGGGUGCAUUUACGAUGUCGAUGCCAUAUUGGUUUUUAAGCAAAGAGGUAAUUGUUUCGGAGUUGAAGGAAGGCUCAUUGUCACAAUAUAUGGUCUUGGUAUUCGUGUAAAAAUUUAUCAAUUGUAUAAUGGGGGCUCGUACCUCUACUAUAGCCCUGGAAGAGAGGGGCUGUACGAUGGCAAACUUUGAGAACUUGUCAAUGCAGGUCAAAAAAAGUUUCUUGUCUGUGGAGAAUAUGUCAAUGUGCAGCAUUUCUCCGGCGUAUGACGGAACAGGGGUGACCCCCAGCUCUUGU